AGCUCAGAGACAGCCCCACACAGGGGAGUGACCUGUCCCGGGUCACAUAGUUGGUUAGUGGCAGAGCCAAGACUACCAUGGCCUGGGGAUGGAAUGGACCCUCGAGGCUGAUCGAGUGAAGCUGCCUGCUCAAGAACCGACAUGAGGAGAAAUGGCCCAUCAGGCGUGAUGCCGCCUUCGUCCCCACGGGCUCACCUUAGCUGCCUGAUUUUAGACUCUUGCUUGGCUGUAUCUUGUGUCCUCUCCCACCAGAGAAAGACAGCUGACCACCCUUCCUCCCGGUGACUUCACCCGUGGUGUCCUGCCUGUUCUGUGGCCCCCCUGGCCAUUGUCUUUUCGCCUUUCUCGCAUCCUUCUCAGUCCUCUCCAGCUUCUCCUUGGCUUGGGCUUGACUACGGGUGUGGAGUCUGUGGAGUGUGUCUCCCCUGCCCUCCCAGCACCCUGGAGGUGGGGGUGUGGUUCUCCAGGAGUGGAAGGCGACUUGUGUUGAUAGCCUCUCCUUUGUCUCUCUGCAGCCCCUCCUGAGGAAUGACUUCCCCCGCAUUGAAGGUAAGAGAGGUCUUCUUUGAUGAGUUAUGAGGUCUUUUCUCCCUCUCCUCUCUGGCCCUCAGGCUGUCUCAGUGUGACUGCCUGCAGCCUGGUUCAGCAGCAAGGGGGCCUUGGAGUCAGGACACACGGGCUCUGGUCUGGAUCUGCCACUCACCACCUCUGAGACUUGUUAGUCUUUCCUUCCCCGUGCCACUCACUAUUCCAGGAAAACCGUAAGCUUAGAGAAUCUUAGUGGUGGAAAGGCACCUAGAGGUGAUGUAGUCUAGUGUUUCUCAACUUUUAAACCCAGUUCUCCCCUUUUUAUAGCAAGAACAUUGGAAUAUCCCCUUUAUUAUCCUGAAGUGAGAUUCAUAGGUAAUAUAACUUCCAUACACACAUAUUAAAAAUUACUUCAGUACAAAGCCCUAACUGUAAUAGGGGGAUAUAAAAGGAAACAUUUUUAGUAAGAAGAUAAUGUAUUUCAGUAUGUAGUAAUUAUCCAAGAAGUAAAAUGGUUGCACUAAACAGAAUCACCAUGAAUGUUAACAGCUACAAAUGCAGGCUGAUGUGUGUUUAUAGGUGUGACAGGUGUGUUUUAUUGGUGACUCAGAAAUUAGGGGCAGCAUUGCCACUGGUCAAGUAAUUUUCCAAAAUAGGGAACAAUUCUUGGUAGAGUUUUGAAAAGGCAAAGUACAGUCUUCUCUCGACUUACACAAUAGUUGUAUUUUUGGAAAAAUCUGGUUGUAUUUUUGGAAAAAUUGAUGUUUAUUGAAGCUGUACAAAAAUACUUUGUGAUUGUAUGUAAAAUAGAAUUGUUCAAGUAAUUCUGAAAAGGUUGUUCACCUAUGUGGAUAUCAGGAUAUCAGGUGGGACAUUCGAAUGUUGUUAGGACAUGGGAAAGUUUUUUCUUUUUCUUCUUCUUGUUUUGUAGAGGCGGGCUUUCACUAUGUUGCCCAGGCUGGUCUCAAACUCCUGGGCUCAAGCAAUCCUACCACUUUGGCCUCCCAAAGUGCUGGAAUUACAGACACAAGCCACCGCACGCAGCCAUGGGAUGGUUUUUUUAAAAAUUAAUUUUAGUGUGGGAUAGUUUUUGAUUGCACAGGAUUGUCCUGAGUAUGUAGCAUCCCUGGCCCCUUCCCACAACCUUCACUUGCUAGGUUUUAGUCACUGUGACAACUAAAAUUGCCUCUGAUUUGUAAAGCACCUCAUCUGGGGCAGUGCUGCCCCAUUGAGAAUCACUGGUUUGGUGCAGUUCACCGGCCCUGUACCUUAGUGUCAGCAGUGUCGUUUGCCUAGUGCUUACUGUGUGUCUAGUCCUGGGCUGUUUACUGAUGAUAUAGCUCAUUUUUCUCCUCACAACAGCAUUGUAAGUAGUGUUGCUGUUAUGUAGUUGCAGUUGAGGAAGCUGAGGCUUAGGGAAGAGAAGUUACUCGGCCACAGUCAUACAGGAGAAUCGGUGGAGUCCAGGUUGGGGUUCAAAUCUCUAUCACUCCACACCCCCUGUCCUGGCUGUUAGGUUCUGCUGGUCCCUGGGGCUCAGAGAGAAGUGACUGAGGGAACAGGAGCCCUUGCUAAGUCAUGUGAGGGAGAGUGUGGUGGCAGAGUCCCAGCCAGCAAGGAAAAGUAGUCCUGAGACAUGCUGCUUUUGUUUUGUAACCUCUUCUGUGAAGCACCAGUGGACUGAAGUCAGAAUGGGAGCCCUCAGGAAUCUCCUUCCUGGGCCCUGGGCCUUGUGCACCCAGGGUGAAUGCGUAAGGGGCUCUACUAGGCUUGUUGGGGAGCUGUGCCCCUGCCCAGCUGGGUGUACCAUGGGUGGAGGGCUUGUGGGUGGGUAGCCCUAGCUGGCAUCCUGAGGGCCUUCCACCUGCCAUCUGCCCUGCAGCCCUCACCUGCGCCUCUGUUCUUUAAAGGGGUGCUCCUCCUAGGGGAGCCAGUCCGCUGGGAGACCAGCCUGCAGCUGAUCAUGGAUGUCCUCCUCAGCAAUGGGAGCCCUGGGGCUGGCCUGGCGACACCCCCCUACCCCCACCUCCCUGUCCUAGCCAGCAACAUGGAUCUCCUGUGGAUGGCUGAAGCCAAGAUGCCCAGGUUUGGACAUGGCACCUUUCUGCUGUGCCUGGAAGCCAUUUACCAGAAAGUGACAGGCAAGGAGCUGAGAUACGAGGGCCUGAUGGGCAAACCCAGCAUCCUCACUUACCAGUAUGCCGAGGACCUGAUCAGGCGACAGGCGGAGAGGCGGGGCUGGGCCGCCCCCAUCCGGAAGCUCUAUGCUGUGGGUGAUAACCCUAUGUCUGACGUAUAUGGCGCCAACCUGUUCCACCAGUACCUGCAGAAGGCAACGCAUGAUGGGGCGCCAGAACUGGGGGCCGGGGGCCCACGGCAGCAACAGCCCUCAGCAAGCCAGAGCUGCAUCUCCAUCCUGGUGUGCACAGGCGUCUACAAUCCCAGGAACCCACAGUCCACGGAGCCUGUCCUUGGAGGAGGGGAGCCUCCAUUCCACGGGCACCGAGACUUAUGCUUCAGUCCAGGGCUCAUGGAGGCCUCCCACGUGGUGAAUGACGUGAAUGAGGCUGUGCAGCUGGUCUUCCGCAAGGAGGGCUGGGCUUUGGAGUGAGGGCAGUGCGGUGGAGGUGAGGGGGUGAGCCUGGACCUGUGGGCGAGUCCCAUCAGCUGGGCUCUGGCCUGAUCACUGGGCUCAGGUCAGGGCUUGAUUCCCUUGCCACCCUUCUUGCUGCCCCAUGAGUGUGGCAUUACUGGUCACUUGGAAGAAGACAGUGGCUCUUCUUCCCUGCUGGGUAGCAUUUUGUAUGGAACGGUCGGAAUUUUCUGGGCCCAGUUCCCAUGUGCCUUUCCUGGCAGUCUAACCUCAGGCCAUUCUCUUCCCCCGUGUGCCUCAGUGUCCUUCUCACUUCAGUAGGGACUUCUGAAAUGGGGGAGGCAGUGUAGAAUACUGUGGACGUCUGUGCAGAGCCUUUGCCGGCACUGAAGGCAUGCAGCCUGUCGGCAGAGUGUCUAACACCAGAUGCUACUUUUUACUGUAUUGUAGUUUAUUGCCCAGAGAUGUGGGGCUUAUUUUUUUUAAUAAAAUAAUCAUCAUAAAUAUUCAUGAUGCU
rnacentral:sRNA from 1 species